AAUCCCCAAAGACUUUUUGGGGAGUAUUGCUGGAGUGACAGUCCUUGGCCAGAUAUAAAUCUGGGUCGUUCCUGUUACGUAGACCCGAAUGUCGUGGGAACGAGACCGAGCUGUUCAUAUCAA